GAUGAACGCUGGCGGCGUGCCUAAUACAUGCAAGUCGAGCGAACGGACGAGAAGCUUGCUUCUCUGAUGUUAGCGGCGGACGGGUGAGUAACACGUGGAUAACCUACCUAUAAGACUGGGAUAACUUCGGGAAACCGGAGCUAAUACCGGAUAAUAUUUUGAACCGCAUGGUUCAAAAGUGAAAGACGGUCUUGCUGUCACUUAUAGAUGGAUCCGCGCUGCAUUAGCUAGUUGGUAAGGUAACGGCUUACCAAGGCAACGAUGCAUAGCCGACCUGAGAGGGUGAUCGGACACACUGGAACUGAGACACGGUACAGACUCCUAGGGGAGGACGCAGUAGGGAAUCUUCCGCAAUGGGCGAAAGCCUGACGGAGCAACGCCGCGGGAGUGAUGAAGGUCUUCGGAUCGUAAAACUCUGUUAUUAGGGAAGAACAUAUGUGUAAGUAACUGUGCACAUCUUGACGGUACCUAAUCAGAAAGCCACGGCUAACUACGUG
rnacentral:rRNA from 1 species